GUAGGUGAACCUGCGGAAGGAUCAUUAACACGUGAUACUUCACGUAUUAACCAAACGAGAACUGUUUUUACAUUCCUACUGUUGAUGGCUGGGAACUUAGCUUGUGAGGGACUGGUGUGCCGCGUUACGCGCGGCUGCCUUGCAAGUUACCACUGAUCUUAUGUUUGCUUCACUGCAGAUGUGAGAAAGGAGGCCCGCAUCGACUUUAGAUGAUGAAUUUUGAUUGUGGUGCUUGCAUCAAGGCGGCACA
rnacentral:misc_RNA from 1 species